AGUGAACGCUGGCGGUAGGCCUAACACAUGCAAGUCGAACGGCAGCACAGUAAGAGCUUGCUCUUACGGGUGGCGAGUGGCGGACGGGUGAGGAAUACAUCGGAAUCUACCUUUUCGUGGGGGAUAACGUAGGGAAACUUACGCUAAUACCGCAUACGACCUACGGGUGAAAGCAGGGGAUCUUCGGACCUUGCGCGAUUGAAUGAGCCGAUGUCGGAUUAGCUAGUUGGCGGGGUAAAGGCCCACCAAGGCGACGAUCCGUAGCUGGUCUGAGAGGAUGAUCAGCCACACUGGAACUGAGACACGGUCCAGACUCCUACGGGCGGCAGCAGUGGGGAAUAUUGGACAAUGGGCGCAAGCCUGCUCCAGCCAUACCGCGUGGGUGAAGAAGGCCUUCGGGUUGUAAAGCCCUUUUGUUGGGAAAGAAAAGCAGCAGGUUAAUCCCCCGCUGUUCUGACGGUACCCAAAGAAUAAGCACCGGCUAACUUCGUG
rnacentral:rRNA from 1 species